rnacentral:tRNA from 1 species
AGAAAGAUAAUUUAUAAAAAAUAUCUUUAUUGCAUAAAGAAAAAGAAGAAUUUCUCUUUAAU